rnacentral:rRNA from 1 species
AGUGAACGCUGGCGGCGUGCUUAACACAUGCAAGUCGAACGAGAACGGGUUAUAGCUUGCUAUAAUUGUCAGCUAAGUGGCGCACGGGUGAGUAAUGUAUAGGUAAUAUGCCUCUUACUAAGGGAUAACAAUUGGAAACGAUUGCUAAUACCUUAUACUCCUUGUUAACAGAAGUUAAUAAGGGAAAGAUUUAUUGGUAAGAGAUUAGCCUGUAUUGUAUCAGUUAGUUGGUGGGGUAAUGGCUUACCAAGACUAUGACACAUAACUGGUUUGAGAGGAUGAUCAGUCACACUGGAACUGAGACACGGUCCAGACUCCUACGGGAGGCAGCAGUGGGGAAUAUUGCACAAUGGACGAAAGUCUGAUGCAGCAACGCCGCGUGGAGGAUGACACAUUUCGGUGCGUAAACUCCUUUUAUAUGAGAAGAUAAUGACGGUAUUAUAUGAAUAAGCACCGGCUAACUCCGUGCCAGCAGCCGCAGUAA